AGAGUUUGAUCCUGGCUCAGGAUGAACGCUAGCGGGAGGCCUAAUACAUGCAAGUCGAACGCUCUGAUUUCGGUCAGGGAGUGGCGCACGGGUGAGUAACACGUACGCAAUCUGCCUUGUGCAGGAGGAUAGCCCUGGGAAACUGGGCGUAAUACUCCAUGGUAUUGUCCAAUUGCAUGAUUGGAUAAUUAAAGCUACGGCGGCACGAGAUGAGCGUGCGUCUGAUUAGGUAGUUGGUGAGGUAACGGCUCACCAAGCCGACGAUCAGUAAGGGGCGUGAGAGCGUGGCCCCUCACACGGGUACUGAGACACGGACCCGACUCCUACGGGAGGCAGCAGUAAGGAAUAUUGGACAAUGGGCGGAAGCCUGAUCCAGCCAUCCCGCGUGCAGGAUGACGGCCCUAUGGGUUGUAAACUGCUUUAGACUGGAAAGAAAGUUGCGGAUUUAUCUGUAAUUGACGGUACCAGUAGAAUAAGCACCGGCUAACUCCGUGCCAGCAGCCGCGGUAAUACGGAGGGUGCAAGCGUUAUCCGGAAUUACUGGGUUUAAAGGGUGCGUAGGCUGCUAUGUAAGUCAGAGGUGAAAGCCCGCCGCUUAACGGUGGAAUUGCCUUUGAUACUGCAUAGCUUGAAACAGGUUGAGGUUGGCGGAAUGUGACAUGUA
rnacentral:rRNA from 1 species